GCACAGACACCUCGCUCGGCAGAGCAUGAGACUCUUAAUCUCAGGGUUGUGAGUUUGAGCCCCACGUUGGGCA